rnacentral:rRNA from 1 species
UACGGGGGGAGCAAGCGUUGUUCGGAUUUACUGGGCGUAAAGGGUGCGUAGGCGGGUCUUUAAGUCAGAGGUGAAAUCCUGGAGCUCAACUCCAGAACUGCCUUUGAUACUGAGGAUCUUGAGUUCGGGAGAGGCGAGUGGAACUGCGAGUGUAGAGGUGAAAUUCGUAGAUAUCUGGAGGAACACCGGUGGCGAAGGCGGCAUCCUGGACCGGUAUUGACGCUGAGGCGCGAAAGCCAGGGGAGCAAACGGG